AUUGAACGCUGGCGGCAGGCCUAGCACAUGCAAGUCGAGCGGAUGAAGGGAGCUUGCUCCUGGAUUCAGCGGCGGACGGGUGAGUAAUGCCUAGGAAUCUGCCUGGUAGUGGGGGAUAACGUCCGGAAACGGGCGCUAAUACCGCAUACGUCCUGAGGGAGAAAGUGGGGGAUCUUCGGACCUCACGCUAUCAGAUGAGCCUAGGUCGGAUUAGCUAGUUGGUGGGGUAAAGGCCUACCAAGGCGACGAUCCGUAACUGGUCUGAGAGGAUGAUCAGUCACACUGGAACUGAGACACGGUCCAGACUCCUACGGGAGGCAGCAGUGGGGAAUAUUGAACAAUGGGCGAAAGCCUGAUCCAGCCAUGCCGCGUGUGUGAAGAAGGUCUUCGGAUUGUAAAGCACUUUAAGUUGGGAGGAAGGGCAGUAAGUUAAUACCUUGCUGUUUUGACGUUACCAACAGAAUAAGCACCGGCUAACUUCGUG
rnacentral:rRNA from 1 species